AUUGAACGCUGGCGGAAUGCUUUACACAUGCAAGUCGAGCGCGAAAGGGGGGGAAACUCCCCGAGUAGAGCGGCGAACGGGUGAGUAACGCGUGGGUGGUCUACCUUCGAGUGGGGAAUAACCCCGGGAAACUGGGGCUAAUACCGCAUGACAUCUUCGGGUCACACUGAAGAUCAAAGCCCGGGGACCGCAAGGCCUGGCGCUUGAAGAGGAGCCCGCGUCCGAUUAGCUAGUUGGCGGGGUAAUGGCCCACCAAGGCGACGAUCGGUAGCCGGCCUGAGAGGGCGGACGGCCACAC
rnacentral:rRNA from 1 species